rnacentral:rRNA from 2 species
ACGGGAGGCAGCAGUGGGGAAUAUUGGGCAAUGGGCGCAAGCCUGACCCAGCGACGCCGCGUGAGGGAAGAAGGUCUUCGGAUUGUAAACCUUGAUCAUUGGGGAAGAAGAAAAUGACGGUACCCAAGGAGAAGCCACGGCUAACUACGUGCCAGCAGCCGCGGUAAUACGUAGGUGGCAAGCGUUAUCCGGAUUUACUGGGUGUAAAGGGUGUGUAGGCGGGUGUGCAAGUCAGAUGUGAAAACUAUGGGCUCAACUCAUAGCCUGCAUUUGAAACUGCAUAUCUUGAGAGUCGGAGAGGUAAACGGAAUUCCCGGUGUAGCGGUGAAAUGCGCAGAUAUCGGGAGGAACAUCGGUGGCGAAGGCGGUUUACUGGACGACAACUGACGCUGAGACACGAAAGCGUGGGGAGCAAACAGGAUUAGAUACCCUGGUA